rnacentral:rRNA from 1 species
AUUGAACGCUGGCGGCAAGCCUAACACAUGCAAGUCGAACGAGUGGCGGACGGGUGAGUAAUGUCUGGGAAACUGCCUGAUGGAGGGGGAUAACUACUGGAAACGGUAGCUAAUACCGCAUACCAUCGGAUGUGCCCAGAUGGGAUUAGCUAGUAGGGGGGGUAAAGGCUCACCUAGGCGACGAACCCUAGCUGGUCUGAGAGGAUGACCAGCCACACGGGAACUGAGACACGGUCCAGACUCCGACGGGAGGCAGGAGUGGGGAAUAUUGCACAAUGGGCGCAAGCCGGAUCCAGCCAUGCCGCGUGUGUGAAGAAGGUCUUCGGAUUGUAGAGCACUUUAAGUUGGGAGGCGUUACCCGCAGAAGAAGCACCGGCUAACUCCGUGCCAGCAGCCGCGGUAAUUC